rnacentral:tRNA from 1 species
GGCCUCGUAGCUCAGCUGGUAGAGCGUGCGCGUACAAAGCGUAGGCGGCGUCCAUGCGUCGCCUCGUAGCUCAGCUGGUAGAGCGUGCGCGUACAAAGCGUAGGCGGUGUCCAUGCGUGGAUUCGAAUCCCACCGAGGCCA